rnacentral:tRNA from 1 species
GCGCGAUUAGCUCAGUUGGUAGAGCACUCGAUUUACACUCGAGAUGUCGCAGGUUCGAGCCCUGCAUCGCGCAUCA